GACGAACGCUGGCGGCGUGCUUAACACAUGCAAGUCGAACGGAAAGGCCCUGCUUUUGUGGGGUGCUCGAGUGGCGAACGGGUGAGUAACACGUGAGUAACCUGCCCUUGACUUUGGGAUAACUUCAGGAAACUGGGGCUAAUACCGGAUAGGAGCUCCUGCUGCAUGGUGGGGGUUGGAAAGUUUCGGCGGUUGGGGAUGGACUCGCGGCUUAUCAGCUUGUUGGUGGGGUAGUGGCUUACCAAGGCUUUGACGGGUAGCCGGCCUGAGAGGGUGACCGGCCACAUUGGGACUGAGGUAGGGCCCAGACUCGAACGGGGGACAACGGGGGGGAUUAUUGCACAGUGGGGGGGAGCCUAGGACGGAGACCCGGGGGGGGGGAUGAGGGCGUUCGGGUUGUAAAACGCUUUCGCCUGUGAAGAAGGGGGCAUGACGGUAAUGGGUAAAGAAGCACCGGCUAACUACGUG
rnacentral:rRNA from 1 species